UACGUAGGGGGCAAGCGUUGUCCGGAAUCAUUGGGCGUAAAGAGCGCGUAGGCGGCCAGAUAAGUCCGCUGUGAAAUCUCGAGGCUCAACUUCGAGCUGUCGGUGGAAACUGUCUGGCUAGAGUCCGGAAGAGGAGAAUGGAAUUCCUGGUGUAGCGGUGAAAUGCGCAGAUAUCAGGAGGAACACCGAUGGCGAAGGCAGGUCUCUGGGCCGCUACUGACGCUGAGAAGCGAAAGCAUGGGGAGCGAACAGG
rnacentral:rRNA from 1 species